UACGAAGGGGGCUAGCGUUGCUCGGAAUCACUGGGCGUAAAGCGCACGUAGGCGGCUUUCUAAGUCAGGGGUGAAAUCCUGGAGCUCAACUCCAGAACUGCCUUUGAUACUGAGGAUCUCGAGUCCGGGAGAGGUGAGUGGAACUGCGAGUGUAGAGGUGAAAUUCGUAGAUAUUCGCAAGAACACCAGUGGCGAAGGCGGCUCACUGGCCCGGUACUGACGCUGAGGCACGAAAGCGUGGGGAGCAAACAGG
rnacentral:rRNA from 1 species